rnacentral:rRNA from 1 species
UGGGGAAUAUUGGGCAAUGGGCGAAAGCCUGACCCAGCAACGCCGCGUGAAUGAUGAAGGCCUUCGGGUUGUAAAAUUCUUUGGACAGGGACGAAGAAAGUGACGGUACCUGUAGAACAAGCCACGGCUAACUACGUGCCAGCAGCCGCGGUAAUACGUAUGUUGCGAGCGUUAUCCGGAAUUAUUGGGCUUAAAGGGCAUCUAGGCGGUAAGACAAGUUGAAGGUGAAAACCUGUGGCUCAACCAUAGGCUUGCCUACAAAACUGUUGAACUAGAGUACUGGAAAGGUGGGUGGAACUACACGAGUAGAGGUGAAAUUCGUAGAUAUGUGUAGGAAUGCCGAUGAUGAAGAUAACUCACUGGACAGAAACUGACGCUGAAGUGCGAAAGCUAGGGGAGCAAACAGG